GUGGCCUAGUGGUUAGAGCGUCCGCCUCAAAAGCGGGAGGUCGUGGGAUCACACACACACACACA